rnacentral:rRNA from 1 species
AGGUUACUGCUAUCGAGGUUCGACUAAGCCAUGCGAGUCGAAUGUAGCAAUACAUGGCGUACUGCUCAGUAACACGUGGACAACCUACCCUUAGGCCUGGGAUAACCCCGGGAAACUGGGAAUAAUACCGGAUAUCUCGCGAAUGCUGGAAUGCGUCGCGAUAGAAAGCUCCGGCGCCUAAGGAUGGGUCUGCGGCCUAUCAGGGUAGUAGUGGGUGUAACGUACCUACUAGCCUACGACGGGUACGGGUUGUGAGAGCAAGAGCCCGGAGAUGGAUUCUGAGACACGAAUCCAGGCCCUACGGGGUGCAGCAGGCGCGAAAACUUUACAAUGCUGGAAACAGCGAUAAGGGGACCUCGAGUGCCAGGAUACAAUCCUGGCUGUCGUAAUGCCUAAAAAGCAUUGCAUAGCAAGGGCCGGGCAAGACCGGUGCCAGCCGCCGCGGUAACACCGGCGGCUCGAGUGGUAACCGCUAUUAUUGGGUCUAAAGGGUCUGUAGCCGGCUGACUAAGUCUCUUGGGAAAUCUGGCAGCUUAACUGUCAGGCUUUCAGGAGAUACUGAUCGGCUCGAGACCGGGAGAGGUGAGAGGUACCUCAGGGGUAGGGGUGAAAUCUUGUAAUCCUUGAGGGACCACCAGUGGCGAAGGCGUCUCACCAGAACGGACCUGACGGCAAGGGACGAAAGCUAGGGGCACGAACCGGAUUAGAUAUCCGGGUAGUCCUAGCCGUAAAGGAUACUCGCUAGGUGUCGGCCACGGUGCGACCGUGGUCGGUGCCGUAGGGAAGCCGUGAAGCGAGCCACCUGGGAAGUACGGCCGCAAGGCCGAAACUUAA